rnacentral:rRNA from 1 species
GCGCGACACCGAGACGAGCUAGUUAGUGCCCUUGCUGAUGAGCUCGAGGGCAGUGGCGGUGGUGGGCAGUGCCGGGAUGGCUCCCUUCUUGGUGGUGCAGAUGGCCCCGCAAGCGUUGGAAAACUCGAGCACCUCCCUCAGCUUGGCCUCGUUCUGACCAAUCACAAAGAAAACAACAUCAUUAGCAACUACUCACAAAAGAUGGAGUCGUCCUUGGCGACGUUGAGGAGGAGGGAUCCAACGAAGGCAUCGCCGGCGCCGGUGGUGUCGACGGUGUUAACGGAGUACCCUGGCAGGGAGCCCUUGAAGUCCUUGGUGAAGUACCUGCAUCCCUUCUCCCCGUCGGUGACGACGAGCAGCUUGAGGCCGUCGAACCAGAGCGUGAGGACGUUCUUCUCGUCAUGGGCGUCGCCCUGGGUGAGGAAGGCCACCUCCUCGUCACUCACCUUGAUGAAGUCGGCCUCCUUCCAGAUGCUCAUGAUGCCGUCGCGUGCGGCCUGGGCAGAGGGCCAGAGCGGGAGGCGCACGUUGGGGUCGUAG